UGGAGAGUGAGAGCGAGAGAGGGAGAGGGGGGAAGGGGGGGGUUGGAGAGGGAGGAGUGGCAGACAGCGAGAGUGAGAGAAGCAGAAAGUAUGCAUGUGUGCGCGUGUGCAUGAGUAAGUGGGCUGUUGCUAUAAAAUUUGCGAGCAGGGGCGCUCAUUGCGUUCGCUGGUGAUCAGGGUGGUGGUUUUUUUUUUCUUUUUUUUUUUUCCUUUUUUUUCCCCUUCUUUUUUCAUUUGUAAUCAAGGCAUGCUUGCACACUCCAAUCACUUCUCUGCACCUCCUCGGCUGCCUUGUGUCUGGAAGCAAUCCAGCUUUCGUCGCUGACAUGGACCGAUCUGUUGGAAAGAAGCAGGAACGAAAGUGUCGAGUUGAAGGUGGUCAUCAUGGAUUCACUGAGUAUAACCCCUAUCCCCAGCAAACCGAAGUGCUGACUGAUCUCAGCAUCCCCACG
ensembl:lncRNA